UGCACUAUGGCUUAGUUGGUUAAAGCACCUGUCUAGUAAACAGGAGAUCCUGAGUUUGAAUCCUCGCGGUGCUU
rfam:Loxodonta africana unplaced genomic scaffold scaffold_50, whole genome shotgun sequence.